UGUGUGCCCACCUCCCCACCUGAAACCCAGUAACAAAACCUGACCAGGACAUCUCCCUUUGCACGGUUGUUUUGCAGCCUUCCCAAGGGGUUAUAUGGAGGAGAGAAGCGCAGCGUGGCAGAGCUUGCUCAGAGGUGUUGAAUUGGCUGCAGGGCCUACAGGCAGCAGGAACGAUGAGGAAAGGCCUGCUCUAGGGGCUGCCAUCACCUGCCGCUUUCCACAGAGCUCAUCAGAAAUACUCAGGAUCUCAUUUCUCCCAAAUCCUCUGGUGGUCGCAGCCGAUGCUCCUCCCUGUGCAGCUCCAAGCACGCUGGGUCCUGCUCGAGAAACAGCAUCCAGAAGCUACCGAGUGGCCUGCGCGAGUUAACCGCUCUCAAGCAGCUUUACGAUGGAAAUGGUGCUCUUGCUUUGCAGAGGGGAAGAUUCGGGCGUCGAGGAAUGAAGCGAUUGUUCCUAGAGGUGCAGGAGGGAAGCGAGGGGCUGGAUUGCUGUGCUGCCUUGCCUCCCUCCCACGGCUGAGCGGAUCUGUGCGGGAGCAGCCUCGCUGGCAUUUUGUGGCUCUCCAGCAGGCGUCUGGGGGAGCUUUUCCUGCUGGGCACCAGGCUCUCAGUCUGCCCCUGCAGACAGGAGCCUGCCUGAGGGGUUUUGUCUCCUCCCUGGGUUCUGCACACACAGCAGAAGCGAAGCAGUCUGCGCACGGUUCAAGCCUCUGUUAUGCAGCAGGUGAUGGGAACAGCAGCGCUCAGGAAAUGCUGGUGCCUGAUGUACACACGUAGCUGUGUGGCUCCAGCAGUGCUCGCUUGUCACUGUGUUUCUCUCCCUCUCUCUUUCAAAAACUCAUUUUUUCUCUUAACUUACUUAAAAAUGACACCUGCACAGGGCCCAGGCAAGCCUGUGCAAGGGGCAGCCUCAUCACGGGGUUGCUGAUGGGAAGCAGAUGCCCCUUGUGAAUUGGGGUUGUUAGCAGCCACAGAUGGCUCAGGGCUAAAUUUCCCAGAAGGGUUCCUGAGGGGCAGGGAGAAAUUCAGGUGCAAAAUCCGAAGUGCAGGGGCCUGGUUUCAAGCCAGAGCCUUUAACCCUUUUCUUACACACACACACACCUUUUUUUUUUUUUUUUUUUUUCCCUACUUCUCUGUAAAUCGGUUAAACCAGUAUUUGCCUCAUGCAAGGCGGUGAUGAUGAAUGAACUCCUAAAGCACCGUGCCGUGAUGAAAGAAGAAACACCGCCCUCGGGGAUGCGCUUCGUGGCUUCGGAGCUUAUGCUGGGGACAAAGAGGAGGAGAACACGGGCUGCGAUGCCCGCGCUGACGUUUUCCUGAGGACGAGCAUGAUCUUUUGCAGCAAAAAUCCUGACGCUCGGGCUAAUCGCAAGGGCUCUCUCUCCUCUCUGCCUCAGCAGAGGGCGGCAGAGAUCGGAAGAAAAAAGGCGACAGCAAGCUGCGGCAGCGGCCGGGAAGGGGCGGGGGGAUUCAUCCCCGCUGUGCCUGUACACGAGCAACCCGCUGGGUUGCAGAGGGGGUGCGGGUCCCCCCGGUCCCUCCUGAUUCCCAACCAGCUCAGAAAUCCCAGCGAGGGCUCAGCCCCGCAUCGCUGGUGCGCUUGGAAGGAAGGCGAAUGUCUUUCUGGCCUCUCGGCCUGCGCCUUGCACCAGGUCUCACUCCUGUCCGCUGGCUGGCAGGAGGAAAACGCGGUGGUUAAAGGUUUGCAGGGAACGGAGAAAAGCAAUGCGGAAUGACACCCGCGCCCCAGGCCUUGCUCUGAGCUGGCAGGAAAAUAGAGCGUGCAAAAUGCUCUCCGUGCCUCCUGCCCAGCGGAGGGAAAAACCUCGAGGAGGGACCUUUCCCCCGGCAGCGAUUUGGGUUCAUGCCAUGGCAGCAGUCAGCCCCUUUCCCUCCCUUGGCUUCAGCAGCAGGCACCCGACCAAGACGGUGCCGGGCAGCUCCUGCUUGCCUCCUGGGGCUGGGCUCAUGCAGGUUUGCAGCAGGGGAGCAGAUCUCUGCAGCAGGGUGCAGCAUGGCACCGGCGAGCGGCACAGCACGUCAGCGUCACCCCCUUUCUCAGGCUGCUGCACCUAUAUGGGGCACUGCCCAGCAAGGCAGGCCAGGAAAUGUUACCAAAAACCAAAGGGAAGGCGCUGGGUAUCCAUUGCCCCAGCUCUGCUGGCUGCCUCAAACGUGGGGGAAUUUCCUCAUAAAGUGAUUCAGCUUUGCAUUUUGGGAACGCUACUUGCUGGGCUGUAGAACAGGGUCAUUAGGGCUCCAAUUAUUUCCACCGUAUGACAAUUAUUAGAUUAUAACUUUUGCUUACCAGAAGCUGCAGCAGAAGGAAGGCACCAACAUUGCUUUUCUUUGGCAUGAGCCUCUCCCUGAAGCAGAGCUGUCUGCUGAGGACUUGCAGAUAUAUAUUUGGCAUAUCUUUGAGGGAUUAAACAGUCUAAAAUAUCCACUGGGCUGCUGACUGCUUUGGCACGGUGUCUCGCCUGUUCAGAUAUGACUUUCACUUGUGCCUUUCGCUUAUGCUUUAUUUUUUGGGGCUUAGUUUAUUGCUUCCAGGCAAGUUUCUGACAGUUGUCAGUAUCCCAGGCAGAAAACCUGGUGAAAAAGUCCUGAAAUCUCAGCUGCUGCAGCAUCAGCCUUGUAAGCUCUCAGGCAUUUCUCACUGCGAAAGGAAUGAGCAGGGUGCUUCUUGCUUCUCUGCGCUCUGCUGGGAAAUACCGGGGUUGCAUCCUUCUUCCUCCUUCCUCUGCAGGGGUAUUCAGCUCUUUUUUCCCCACUGCCUCUUUGAUGCAAGACUGACAGGCAAUCUCCAGAUACGGAUCUCCACACGAGUGGGCUCAGCACCGUCUUUACCACCAUUUCUUGCUGCAGCUAAGUUUCAGACUGAAAAUGUUGGCAGCAGCUGUGACGAUGCUGAGGACGGGUGCUGAGGAGUUUCUCAGGCGUGUUCUGUACAUGGGCCCUGAGGUGCUGAGCAGGAGAUAAAUAAGCAGCCCUGCCAGGUGACAAGGGCCAUAGCAUAAGGGGUCGAAGGGUGUUUGUUGGCAUCCUCGAAGAUUUUUUGAAGAUUUGCAGCAGAUUUUUAAAUGUAGGGCUCUAGCUAGGAGACCCACUCUUCUGCCAAGGGCUCGCUCAUCCCUGGGAGCAAUCCCACCUCUCCCAAGCAUGUAAAUAUAGAGAAGGAAAUACAACUGGCCAAAGGCCACAGGUAUACAUAUAAUUGGGGUGAAAACUAUUAGUGGGAAUUCUGAAAAGCCUGAUAAAAGGAGAUUUUAAGGAUGAUUUUUUUUUUUUUUAAGUUAUUUACAAUCUUAUCUGGAGCUCAAAAGAAAACGGCCAGUUUUCCAGUUUUGAAGUUUUUGACUAUAAACCUCAUCAAAAAUGUAUUGAGGAAAAUAUUUCAACAUCUUUUCAGCAAUCCCCCAGCAGGUCUCGCUGUGAAUGCUGAAGGCUCAUUUUAAAAUUGGUUUCUGUAAACAAAGCAACACGCAUCUCUGAAAUUCAUUUUCG